AACGAACGCUGGCGGCGUGGAUAAGACAUGCAAGUCGAACGAGAGAAUUGCUAGCUUGCUAAUAAUUCUCUAGUGGCGCACGGGUGAGUAACACGUGAGUAACCUGCCCCCGAGAGCGGGAUAGCCCUGGGAAACUGGGAUUAAUACCGCAUAGUAUCGAAAGAUUAAAGCAGCAAUGCGCUUGGGGAUGGGCUCGCGGCCUAUUAGUUAGUUGGUGAGGUAACGGCUCACCAAGGCGAUGACGGGUAGCCGGUCUGAGAGGAUGUCCGGCCACACUGGAACUGAGACACGGUCCAGACACCUACGGGUGGCAGCAGUCGAGAAUCAUUCACAAUGGGGGAAACCCUGAUGGUGUGACGCCGCGUGGGGGAAUGAAGGUCUUCGGAUUGUAAACCCCUGUCAUGUGGGAGCAAAUUAAAAAGAUAGUACCACAAGAGGAAGAGACGGCUAACUCUGUGCCAGCAGCCGCGGUAAUACAGAGGUCUCAAGCGUUGUUCGGAAUCACUGGGCGUAAAGCGUGCGUAGGCUGUUUCGUAAGUCGUGUGUGAAAGGCGCGGGCUCAACCCGCGGACGGCACAUGAUACUGCGAGACUAGAGUAAUGGAGGGGGAACCGGAAUUCUCGGUGUAGCAGUGAAAUGCGUAGAUAUCGAGAGGAACACUCGUGGCGAAGGCGGGUUCCUGGACAUUAACUGACGCUGAGGCACGAAGGCCAGGGGAGCGAAAGGGAUUAGAUACCCCUGUAGUCCUGGCAGUAAACGGUGCACGCUUGGUGUGCGGGGAAUCGACCCCCUGCGUGCCGGAGCUAACGCGUUAAGCGUGCCGCCUGGGGAGUACGGUCGCAAGAUUAAAACUCAAAGAAAUUGACGGGGACCCGCACAAGCGGUGGAGUAUGUGGCUUAAUUCGAUGCAACGCGAAGAACCUUACCUGGGCUUGACAUGUAAUGAACAACAUGUGAAAGCAUGCGACUUUUCGGAGGCGUUACACAGGUGCUGCAUGGCCGUCGUCAGCUCGUGUCGUGAGAUGUUUGGUUAAGUCCAGCAACGAGCGCAACCCCUGUUGCCAGUUACCAGCACGUGAAGGUGGGGACUCUGGCGAGACUGCCCAGAUCAACUGGGAGGAAGGUGGGGACGACGUCAGGUCAGUAUGGCCCUUAUGCCCAGGGCUGCACACGUACUACAAUGCCCAGUACAGAGGGGGCCGAAGCCGCGAGGCGGAGGAAAUCCUGAAAACUGGGCCCAGUUCGGACUGUAGGCUGCAACCCGCCUACACGAAGCCGGAAUCGCUAGUAAUGGCGCAUCAGCUACGGCGCCGUGAAUACGUUCCCGGGUCU
rnacentral:rRNA from 1 species